UACGUAGGGUGCGAGCGUUAAUCGGAAUUACUGGGCGUAAAGCGUGCGCAGGCGGUGUUGUAAGACCGAUGUGAAAUCCCCGGGCUUAACCUGGGAACUGCAUUGGUGACUGCAUUGCUGGAGUAUGGCAGAGGGGGGUGGAAUUCCACGUGUAGCAGUGAAAUUCGUAGAUAUCGGGAGGAACACCGGUGGCGAAGGCGGCGACCUGGGUAGAUACUGACGCUGAGGUGCGAAAGCGUGGGGAGCAAACAGG
rnacentral:rRNA from 1 species